UAAGGUUCGGGUCUGUGGUUGAAAGCCGAUGCCAGUCGCAGGCAAAGCGGUCCACGUAAGCCUGGAGAAUUUCCGGGUGAGCAUGGUGCGGUUUAGACGUAAGUCCGGCCGGAUGAAAAUCCGAGAGAGCGGCGUGGGGGCCAAGAUGCUAUGAGCAAUGCUCCUGCCGGCGAGUGUGGGGUCAAAGACCAGGUCAGCCUUCCUUA
ncrna:unclassified sequences raiA RNA